UUUGAACGCUGGCGGCAUGCCUUACACAUGCGAGUCGAACGGUAGCAGGUUAAGCUGACGAGUGGCGAACGGGUGAGUAAUAUAUCGGAACGUGCCCAGUCGUGGGGGAUAACUGCUCGAAAGAGCAGCUAAUACCGCAUACGACCUGAGGGUGAAAGCGGGGGAUCGCAAGACCUCGCGCGAUUGGAGCGGCCGAUAUCAGAUUAGCUAGUUGGUGAGGUAAAGGCUCACCAAGGCGACGAUCCGUAGCUGGUCUGAGAGGAUGAUCAGCCCAACUGAGACUGAGACACGGGCCAGACUCCUACGGGAGGCAGCAGUGGGGAAUUUUGGACAAUGGGGGCAACCCUGAUCCAGCCAUGCCGCGUGAGUGAAGAAGGCCUUCGGGUUGUAAAGCUCUUUCGCGAGGGAAGAAAGCGCAACGGUUAAUACCCGUUGUGGAUGACGGUACCUUGAUAAGAAGCACCGGCUAACUACGUGCCAGCAGCCGCCGCCG
rnacentral:rRNA from 1 species